rnacentral:rRNA from 1 species
UACAGAGGGGGCAAGCGUUGUUCGGAAUUACUGGGCGUAAAGGGCGCGUAGGCGGCCUGUUAAGUCGAACGUGAAAUCCCCGGGCUCAACCCGGGAACUGCGUCCGAAACUGGCAGGCUCGAAUCCGGGAGAGGGAUGCGGAAUUCCAGGUGUAGCGGUGAAAUGCAUAGAUAUCUGGAGGAACAUCGGUGGCGAAGGCGGCAUCCUGGACCGGUAUUGACGCUGAGGCGCGAAAGCCAGGGGAGCAAACGGG